AGAUAUACCAAUCACAAGCGCGUGAGAUUUAGCUGUUCAAACCACUUGAAGGAUUGUAGCGAUUGACAUGGUGGAUACAAGCGCUUUGUGGGAUUGAUUAUCUGUAUGAGACACAAAUCGAACGAAACUCAAGAUUCGCAGCUGGUUUGAAAAUAUUUCAAAGGCCGCACAUUUUGUUUCGACUCGGGCUAGUGAUGGAAAUAUGUUGACAACGUUUGCUGAGUUAUGUGGUAGGAGAUAGAGGUUGGCAAUUGAAAUAGAAACCAGGAAUAUCGGGGAAAGGUUUAAUAGACCUGGCUCUACUAGUCAAUAAUCGCCUACACGACAAUAAUCGCCUUUACGUUGACAAGAAUUAAAAGGAAACCGUGAAACAUUCGUGGACAUAUUGAGAUAGUGAGUGGUUUUCUUACAGGUAAAAGAAGCGGAUUUAACAAAAUCGUAGUGCGUUAGAAAUUUAAACACACCUAUUCUGGAUAUUGAAUAAUAUAUAGAAAAUAUUUUGAAAAAAAAAUCAGCUCAAAAAAAGUUGUAUUCACUAGUGUUUACAUGAACUCUGGUGAAAAAAAACUGGUAGAUGAAAGCGGAAGUUGUGUCAUAUGUUAACAAAACGCGGACAUCUUUACAGCCGAUGAGCAAUCAUGAACAAUAAAUCUAAAAAUAACAACAACAACAACAUUAACAUGUCCGAAAACUCGGUAAAAACGAGCGACUCCAUCGUAAGCAACGAGUACAGGUGGGUGGCGGAGUUCUUAGCGGGGCCCGGCGGCUACCUAGAAAAAGCGGAAGUGGUCAGCGACUGGUUCCCGAACCGCCAGGCCGCCACGGACGACGCGUGGUCGCGUGCCAACAACGAGGUGUCGGACUAUCCGUUCUCGCGCGGCCGGAUUCUCAAACUGAUCGUAGAGGACAAGAACGGAAGUAUUGUGGAGCUUAGCAACGCUAGGAAUGUAACCUCGCGACGGUGACAGCGACGCGCAGUAAGGCGAAACAUUCAUGUUUGUUUUCUUAAUCCCAUCAUAUACAAGCGGCGAAUUCUUACGCCAGGAUUGUGCCCUCCCGUUGAUAACGUCGCGUGGGAGUGCGAGACAUUGACGCGUUUUUAUUAUCCCAGGAAUGCGGCGUAACAUUUGUACGAAUGUAAAACUAACCAUUUACUUUGUGUCGGAAGGCUGGAUGCUGCACAAGAAGCAGAAUAUGUAUCUCGUGUGCAUAUCUAUCAGUGACAAGUGUCGUACCAGAUUAGCCUGUGCAGUCCGCACAUGCUUAUUAGGAACGUUCUACACUGGACACUACAUUUUCGUUUUGAAGAGACUUCCAUUAGACAAAAAAAGACAUGAAAGCGGAAAGUGUCGUCCCUGAUCAGGCUGUAAAGCGGAAAGUGUCGUCCCUGAUCAGCCUGUAAAGCGGAAAGUGUCGUCCCUGAUCAGCCUGUAAAGCGGAAAGUGUCGUCCCUGAUCAGCCUGUAAAGCGGAAAGUGUCGUAUCUGAUAAGCCUGCACACGUAGAUUACAUGAACGAGGAAUAUAUCCGCCAUGAACAUACAUUUUGUCAAAGGAUGUAUUCAUACUCGUGUUUUUUAUCAAUCACCCAACAUAUCGUAUACAUAAAUAACGAAUGUUUUACGAACAGUAAACAUGUUAUCGUGUGUAGUUUGCACAAUUUAAAUAUCAUAUACUUGACUCUUAGACGGAAUUUAAAUGUGUAUUCGUAUUCAACUAAAUAAACUGUGUUCUAACAAGGUAACUCUUUUCCUGAAUUAUAGUUACAAUAUAUUAUGCUAUGGAAUAUUUACGUUAUAUAAGGCAUAUUAAUUAUGCCUAGAGAUUGUGAUGCAUGAAGUAAAAUAUUGAUACAAAAAUUGCACUUCAAGAGGAAAAGGUAUCGUCGGCUGCAAAUGCCAGGUUGCAAAGUCCUAAUGUUUCCAUUAAUCAUUAAUGUUGUAUGUACUUGCACUCGUCAGUAAAAUUGUUUGAUA